rnacentral:piRNA from 1 species
UGUAUAGAUAUUUCCCCGUGCUGCCC